AGUGAACGCUGGCGGUAGGCCUAACACAUGCAAGUCGAACGGCAGCACAGUAAGAGCUUGCUCUUACGGGUGGCGAGUGGCGGACGGGUGAGGAAUACAUCGGAAUCUACUUUUUCGUGGGGGAUAACGUAGGGAAACGUACGCUAAUACCGCAUACGACCUACGGGUGAAAGCAGGGGAUCUUCGGACCUUGCGCGAUUGAAUGAGCCGAUGUCGGAUUAGCUAGUUGGCGGGGUAAAGGCCCACCAAGGCGACGAUCCGUAGCUGGUCUGAGAGGAUGAUCCGCCACACUGGAACUGAGACACGGUCCAGACUCCUACGGGAGGCAGCAGUGGGGAAUAUUGGACAAUGGGCGCAAGCCUGAUCCAGCCAUACCGCGUGGGUGAAGAAGGCCUUCGGGUUGUAAAGCCCUUUUGUUGGGAAAGAAAAGCAGCAGGUUAAUACCCCGCUGCUCUGACGGUACCCAAAGAAUAAGCACCGGCUAACUUCGUG
rnacentral:rRNA from 1 species